rnacentral:pre_miRNA from 1 species
ACAACAUUCGGACCGUCGGUCUACCGAGCAAUAUCACCCGCUCGGUGGAAAAUCUUCUCUCUGUCAU